GUGAGGAAUAUUGCACAAUGGGCGAAAGCCUGAUGCAGCAACGCCGCGUGAGUGAUGAAGGCCUUCGGGUCGUAAAGCUCUGUCAUCAGGGACGAACGGCCGGUGGAGUGGAAAGCCACCGGAUUGACGGUACCUGAGAAGGAAGCCACGGCUAAUUCCGUGCCAGCAGCCGCGGUAAUACGGAAGGUCCGGGCGUUAUCCGGAUUUAUUGGGUUUAAAGGGAGCGUAGGCGGAGCGUCAAGCCAGCAGUGAAAUGUAGCGGCCCAACCGCUGCACUGCUGUUGGAACUGGCGCCCUUGAGUGCACACGAGGCAUGCGGAAUUUGUGGUGUAGCGGUGAAAUGCUUAGAUAUCACGAAGAACUCCGAUUGCGAAGGCAGCGUGCCGGAGUGCAACUGACGCUGAAGCUCGAAAGUGCGGGUAUCGAACAGGAUUAGAAACCCGUGUAGUCC
rnacentral:rRNA from 1 species